rnacentral:rRNA from 1 species
CCUAUGGGGGGCAGCAGUGAGGAAUAUUGGUCAAUGGGCGGGAGCCUGAACCAGCCAAGUCGCGUGAGGGAAGACGGUCCUAUGGAUUGUAAACCUCUGUCUUUGGGGAAGAAGAUGACGGUACCCAAAGAGGAAGCUCCGGCUAACUACGUGCCAGCAGCCGCGGUAAUACGUAGGGAGCGAGCGUUGUCCGGAAUUACUGGGUGUAAAGGGAGCGUAGGCGGGGAUGUAAGUUGGAUGUUUAAACUAUCGGCUCAACCGGUAAUUGCAACCAAAACUGCAACUCUUGAGUGAAGUAGAGGCAGGCGGAAUUUCUAGUGUAGCGGUGAAAUGCGUAGAUAUUAGGAGGAACACCAGUGGCGAAGGCGGCCUGCUGGGCUUUAACUGACGCUGAGGCUCGAAAGCGUGGGGAGCAAACAGGAUUAGAUACCCUAGUAGUC